CCUACGGGUGGCAGCAGUGAGGAAUAUUGGUCAAUGGUCGGGAGACUGAACCAGCCAAGCCGCGUGAGGGAUGAAGGUACUGCGUAUCGUAAACCUCUUUUGUCAGGGAACAAAGGCGGGGACGUGUCCCCUGAUGAGUGUACCUGAUGAAAAAGCAUCGGCUAACUCCGUGCCAGCAGCCGCGGUAAUACGGAGGAUGCGAGCGUUAUCCGGUUUUAUUGGGUUUAAAGGGUGCGCAGGCGGUCGGUUAAGUCAUCGGUAAAGGCCGGGGGUGAAACCCAGGACCGCCGUUGAAACUGGCAGUCUCGAGUUGGAGAGAGGUAUGCGGAAUGCGAGGUGUAGCGGUGAAAUGCAUAGAUAUCGCGCAGAACUCCGAUUGCGAAGGCAGCAUGCCGGCUCCACACUGACGCUGAGGCACGAAAGCGUGGGUAUCGAACAGGAUUAGAUACCCCGGUAGUC
rnacentral:rRNA from 1 species